rnacentral:lncRNA from 1 species
AAUACUAAGAGGUUUGUAUGGGCAAUUUUGUCUAUAAAAAACGUGAUAUAUGAAACCAUAACGAUUAAAAUACGAUAUUGGUUGUUCUCCAUAUAUAUUAUAUAAGCAGGUGGUAUGUACAAACAAUCAGCGUGGGCUAGGAAAAUCUCAAAAAAAUAUUUUUUUUAACAAUUCAAAUUUAACCAGUGAGAUGAAGAUUGAAUAAGGGAAACAGGAAAAACAAACAAACAAAUAAUUAUAAUAAAUGUGGGGGAAAAUAUACAAAAAAAUUGUAUAGGGCAAUUUGGUCUUUUUACAAGAAUAACAUAAACAAAGAAUAAUGGUUUUUGGGUUUAUACUUCUUUCGCGCCUCUCCCUUCUAAUGUGAAUACAGCUCAGUCAAUCUAAAGUGUGCAUAGGGUACCAGUGGCGUCCCUAGCUGUGGUUCUCGUUGAUGAACCUCAUGAAUUAUUAGAAAAACACAAUGGGACUUACAUAUAUUUAAUCUUCUCUUUCAAGGACACCUCUGAAACAGACCUUUAGUCUCCUCCACCACUUGUUGAAGGAGAUUAGGUUCGCAAUAUAGUCAUGCUAUGUAGAAUUAACAACGCUAAUGGUUGAUUAGAUGGAUCGUCAAACUUCUUUUGGAAUACUAUUCCAAAUGGUGGUGGUAGCAUCUAGCCUUUCAUUUUAGCACAAUCAUUGCCUUUUGAGAUGGACCAAGCCAGGUUGACUAAUUUAACGUUUGGAGUUUCUGAGUUUUUUUUGCAUUUAGUGAAUUAUUUCAUAAUUUGAUCAAAACUAUUUACUUUUUUAGAAUACUUGGAAAGGUAUUAUCUAGAAACAUAUAGAGUUUUGAUCAAAUUUUGAAGGAAAAAAAGAUAGGGGUCCAAAUAGACAAAUUUUGCUUUUUUUUGAGUAAAGAUAAAUUCUUUCUUCUUUAUUGAACUUUUUUUAAUUUAAUUAUAUUUUUUUUAUAUUUUCAAGUUCAUUUCUCAAGAGGAAUCGAAAAAGUAAUAAAAUUAGGUUAAACAGACCACAAAUCUACUAAAAAAGAAAAUUUUAAAAACUAAUAAGCUAAAUUAUCUAAUCCAACGGUGUGCCUUAUAAAUAUCAUACUCCCUCCCUCCCUCGCCCUCAUAUUAUUGGUCCUGUUCUGGAAAAUCGACCUUUUUAUAGAUAAAAUUGUAAUUAUUGCAUCUAUUUUAUAUUUAAUAAGCAAUAAAUUUUUUCAAACUACCCGCUUAUAUCUGCAAAUUUUGUACAUAAUGGUAGCUAAGAAAGGGCAAAAGGGGGAAUGUUGGUAAAUUUAUGCGGUGACUUUUUAAAAUAGAUAUAAAUUUUGGGAUAUUCAAAAAAAAAAGACCAAAAAAUAUAGGAGGGAGAGAAUAUAUAUGGACAAAGUUUGGCUGCAACCCUUGGGGCAACAGGAAUUCCGCAACCUCACUCUUUGGGCUAAGUUAGAUAGCCACAACAACUAAAUCAGCUACAACAGAUUGUUAAGCCUAGUAGUUUGAUUUUUGUACAGUAUAAAGUUGCUUUUAAUCUAACUAGAUAGAGCAUUUCUAAUAACCUCUCAGUAUUUGGUUCUCUACUUUGUCUAAUUUAGUUUAAGGACUCCUUUGUUUUAAUCACUCUAAUAAGGAAACAUCUCUAGCAAUCUUCUAGUUAUUUAACUACCUAAAUGGUCUAUAUUUUAAUUUAGGGAGUCAUUUUUUUUAAGUACUCAAACCACCACUCCUUUUUAAUUGCAACAACAAUAAAAUAUUUGUCUUUGAAAAUAUUUUAAAAUAAUCACAUAAUCAAAAAUUAAUUAGGUGACAAAAUUUGCACUUUACUUUUCCCAACACACCACACUUUGGGUCGUAUUAUAAUUUUUUUUAAUAAAAGGCCGAUAUUGCCUCCAAUUAGAAGAAAGAACUAAAAAUAUAAUAGUAUAUAUAGAGUAAUUAUAAUUUUCGAAAAAGUAUUAAGGGUUUCUUAAACUUUCUAUAAUAAAACCAAAAAGUAAAGUGCAUUUAAUAAAAAGAUACACCGGUAAAAAGGGAUCAUCUCCAUUAGUUAUAAUUUUUAUAAUGCCUCUUCUCUUCGUGCUCUUCAAUUUAUAAGUUCUGUAUGCUAAAAAAUAAAUAUUAGUAAUUUCGAGGAUAAAAUAUGGAGGUUGUGGAGUUGGUAUAUUAAAUAAACACCCAGCUAAAAUUGCGUGGUUUAAAAUUAUUAUUCUAUAAAAAAACUAUUGGCAUGCCACUAACAUCCACUAUUUUAUUGACUCACAACAAAAAAAAACAAAAAAUGUAUGCUACUUCCGGGAAGUUGAUAAAAAAAUCAAGGUUGCCAGCGAAAUUCUUGAUGACCGGGUGCAGCCAAACUUUGUCCAUCUAGUAUUCUCGUCUAGAAUUCCCAAUGACUCGAGGAAAGAGAGUUGUUACACAAGGGACAUUAUCUUUUGGUAAGGGCAUUAUUUGAACUGUGAAGCUUGAAUUGUUUUUUCUCCACUGAUAUGGAACACUCUUCCUUGCUCUUUUUCCUCACACUUGUUUUGCUUUAUUUUUUUGUUAUGACUUCACAUCCCCUCUCAAAAAAAAAAAAAAGGAAAAGGAAAAUAAAAGAGAGAAACAACAUUGGAACAAUUGUUUUUCAUUAUCAUUAGGAGGCCAAAUAAGAACCAGUGCCUGAGGGGCACGGAUUAAGAUGUAUUAAUGACUCAAAAUGUCAAAAUAGUAUUUGAUUUUGAUACAACCAAAAGAAAAGCAAUCUUUUAGCUUCGUUAUUAACGAGAGUUUUCCCAACUAAUUAAAUUAUUGCAACGGAAUCAAUUUUAGAAUACCAAAUUUCAAUGGUAUUUUUUUCCAAACAAUGAUUAAUACUUCAAUUUUAAUUUUAAGGAUUAUGUCAUUAGCCGUAGAUCCGUAUUUAUAAUUUCUUUACUUUUUAAGUACAUCAAAUUAUUGAUUGAAAGUUGUGGAUUUAAUGAAAUAAAUUGCAAGUUUUUUUUUUUUUUUUUUGUAAAUAGGGAAAGUAAAUUGUUUAUGGAAAAUGAUGCAGUAAAUGGAUGUUCAUAUAAUCAAUACAAAGCCUAUUAAAGUCAAAUAAACCACAUUUAUUGUUAUCAGACAGGUAAUAGGGUUGACUUAUUAAUAGACCUCAUCACUAAUGUAAUGAACCUAAUUUCAAGCAAACUAAGUCCCAUGGUGUUGCCUGAAAAAAAACUAGGGUUUUUAAUAGAAGAAUCUUAACAAUACCCGAUUUUUGAAAGUUAAGCUAAUUAACUGAAAAUGUGAUACUAAAUUAAUUAAAUCUUACAAUUUCUUACUCGUCUCACUAAUGCAUCAAGUUGUGAUACAGAUUUUAAACUUGAAAUGGAAGCCAAAGGAGUGAUGUGAUAAGAACAACUACGUGAUCAAGAAAAAAUUUAUAUUAUUUGUUAACUUAUCAAAUUACUGUAAUUAACUUACCCAAAGUGGGCGUACAAUUCAUUUUUUGUCCAUUUACACGUGGCGGAAUCCAAUUACACACGAACGAUAUUAUUGAGAAUUCAUUAAGAACCUUUUAGGAGACCACUUAUGCCUAAAGGUAUUUUAUUUUUUAUGAUAUGUUUUUUUUAAAUUUGGUACAAAAGAAAAGAUAUGUAAGGUUGUAAUGUAGAAAAGUUGUCAGUUUUAAGCUAAAUUUAGCCGCUUGAUUUCUGAAUUUUACGUUUUUAAUGAAUUCUUGUAAUUGUCGAUGAUAGUUCAUACUUUUCAUUCCUCUGACAAGAGAAAUUUAAAAUGUAAUUUUUUAUCGAAUUUAAAAAAAAUUACUAAAGAAAUGAACAAUUAUUGUUUACAAACACAUAAGUUAAAUUUUUUGUUCGUUCCUGAUUUUUUGUCAAGAUUUUUAUAUUUUUUAUCUCCUCUCAUCAAAAGAAAUCGAAAAAAAAUAUAAAAUUUGGUAUCUCCAAAUUUAGCAAAUCAUAAUAUUACCAAUCAUACUUAAAUCUUACUUUCAAUCAAUAUUGAAAAUCCACCAUACCACCCAUAACAUUGACCAUUCACCUUUAAUCAAAUCUCCACUAGUUUUUUGAGAAAACCGCUAGCACCACAAAAAGUUGCAACGGUUUGUGAGUGAAGAGGAGCCACAAGGUUGCAACGUAGAGAGUUGUAGUGUGCGACAUGAAUUUUAUUGAUAAAACGGUUGAUAUUGACGGUGGUCGGGAGGUAGGUGUAAUGGUGAGAGUAGGUGGGGAAGGUGGAGACAGUGGAGAAGCGCCAAUAAAAGUAGGCUGUGGUUGGAAGUUGGGACACGAAGGUGGAAAGUAGUGACUUAUUCCUUGGUUUUUAUUAACUAUACCAUAAGUCAAUAAUUUUUAACUGAUUGAGGUUCUAUUAACUCAUAUCUUAAGGCAUAUAAUUUUUAACUGAAUGAGAGUGCAAUGUGAUUUUAAAAAAAAUAAAGAGGCUAGUUAUCUGCAGAUUCAUAUAGGGGGAGUUCGUGAAAGUUACCUUUUCAGUUCAGGAUUUUGGUUUGUGAGAAGAGGCCUUCAGGAUAUUUACACUCCUGAUUCUCUCUUCUCUUCCUCGUAGGCUUAAUUUACAAUAGCAAUGAAACUGUGAGUGUAAAGCACCUGCAAGUUGUGAACUUGUUAGCUUUGGCUUAGUCGUGUGACUGUGAGGGUAACGUGUGGGGAAAAGCCUUUUCAUGGAUUAUUAAGGAUGCGUGUACCACAUUUUUAGUAGAUACCCAAAAGCAAAUUUGAAGAUGAAUAUUAGCCUUACUGGUUUUUUUUCUAAACAUUUUGAUGGAGGUUUGUUUUGUAUGAAGGAUAUUAGGUAGGUAGGUAGGUUGGUUAAUUUAGAAGACAGGUAAAAGAUAUUUUUAUAGAACUCUCUCGAUAAUAAGAUAGUAAGACUGUUUUUCAUACAGAACUGUUACGGUAUCUAAAUUUGGACAAAAAAAAGUUUAUCGAUUCACAAUAAAUUUAAUCCAGAUUUACUUAAAUAUAAUGUAUAGAAUCAUAUAAUCAAGUGAAUUAAAUUAUCAAGUAACUUCCAAGAAUGCAAUACUAAGGUCAAAAACUAUCCCAUACAUCUAAUUCCUAGUGCUAAUCCCGAAAGUGGUUAUUUUAUUCAAUAAAAGAACAAAAGAGACUUCAUAAAACAACAAGUAAUAUUCAUGUUGUCAUAAUGACAGUUACGUUCCUUAUAGUCACGCUCUUAACCUACCAACUUCAAAUAACUACCCAAAAAAAGGAAAGAAUCAUCGCACUUACUUGGGUAAAUCAGGAUCAUCAAGAUCAUCAUCAAGUCCUCCUAUAUAUCAAUUUAAGAAGUGGUUCAAUUUCUUGGUGCUAAUUUUGUGCUUUUAAGUCAAAAUUAAGAUACACAACAAAAUUAAGCUAUGAUCGAUCCAUGUAUAUAUAUCACAAUUCACACUAUAUAACUAAACUAAACUUUGAUAUCAUUAUUUUGAACUGUAUAUUCAUAUUCUAUAAAGAUAUUUGUUUGUGUGGGUAUAUAUGUAGAGUCUCCCAGCCCAAACAUUAAUUGCAUGACUUUUAUAUGGGGGGGGGGGGGGGGACCGCCUUUUGCACGUGAUGGAUGAUCCAUUCAGUAGAUAUCAAUGAAUUCUAUGAGUGGAUGGGGAGAUCUAGACACCAGGUAGAUAGAUAUUUAUAAAACUAUUUCAUAAAACUUAAAUGUCAGGCAAAAUUUUAAAAUUUAUUGGGGAAAUUUUAAAAAAAAAAUCUAAAAUUGUAUUUGAAAGUUCAAUUUUUCUAAAUUAAGCAGCAUAAAUUGAUUUCACUUGCCAUGCCAUGGCUUUGUCCUUAGGUAUGAGAGUGUCUCAUCUACAAGCACCAAUAUAAAAGAAGAAAAAUGUGAAUAUGUUUCAAAAAAACUUUACAGUUCUCGAAUUUAGAUUAAUAAAUAUUUUUAGAAUUAAAAAAUAAAUGGUACAAUCAUUACGUAUCUCAGUUAUUGGGAUAUUGACUCUAAUUGUCUCUGAGACGUAUAAUAGGGUUUAAUGGGUACGAUUGGUUACCUAAAGGUAAUUGUAGGAAUAUAAUUGGGGGGGUCUAGUUUGACGGAUUUUUGUUAAUGUAUUCGUGAAUAAAAAUAAAAGAACAGAAUAGACGACAGAGAGAUCAAAAUAACAAUAUUCUAAGGUUGUGUUUCGAUCAAGAUUUGGGUGAAAAAAAUAAAGUUCGCUAGAGAAUUUAAACGGUCCGAACUAUUUGAGUUUUUUUAGUUGUUUUGUUUUUUAUUUUGUUUUUUUUUUUUCACCAAAAUCUUAAUCUAAAUCCAUCAUAAGUAGAAGGAGAUGAUUUAUAGAGUGCAUAAAAAACUUCAGCGAAAGUGUCCUUGAUGUUCUUGGAGGGACCAUUGUAAUCCUAUUAUUUUUCAUGAAAAAAUGAAGACUUGAAGAACCAAUGUCUAGGAAACUACGUUUGACUUUGUUUUGUGAUCAUUUAGAAUCUUGUGGCAUGACGAUAAAUAUAAAUACAUAUUAAGCUCCAAGAAGAGAAAAUGACAAUCACAUUGUACUAUGUAUCUUUGUUUAUUAUGUAUUUGGGUACGAAAAUAAAAUAAAAACAAUGUAUUAAUUUCGUGCAAAUGAAAAUAUUAUUUUUGUACAAAAUAAAAAUAAAUCUUAAUUCGAUAUAAUCAAAAUUUGGGGGGAAAUAGAAAGGAUAUCAUUUCUUUAUAUAUUCAUAUUCAAUCGUACAAUAGCAGAACUGAGAUUUCCGUAAAGGUCAAAAAAUGAAGUGAUUGAAAGGUUAAAGAAUAAAAAACUAAAUCAAUUUAACCAAAAAAUAAAAGUAGUAAUGUCACGUCCCUCAACCCGGCCUAUGCAGAUCGUGGUCUGUCUGAUAUAGCCGGCGGCUGGCCAAAGCCUCGGAUCUUCAACCUAUGCAAUUAUUUUAAAAGCUAUACUAAAUUUUUCUCUUUUUGCGGAACGUCUUAAUUGAAAAAAAAAUAAAGGUCACGUCCGUACGUACAUAGAGUUGUGCUAAAUUCCAACUAUACAUACUGUUCGCCAAUUAAUUAUCAUACAUUGCAUGGCCAAUAUAAUUACAUCACUGUUAAUCUAUCUAAUCUGGCUCCAAUAUAACCCAAGGCUCCUUUAGGCCCACAAUACAUCUGCUUGCUUCCUUCUUCUAUAAGCUCCUCGUUGACUUCUUAAAAAUGAUUUUCUAAAACGUAAGUUUAAAGUUUUGUAAAUGAACAUCAAUGUAUGAACGUAAAAUACCAUGGAUAUUUGCAUAUAUAUCUAUAAUCAUUUUGCAUAACCAUGUAGCUAUCAUAGCGUUUAUAAAGCUGACUUUUAUAACUUGAAGGCUCACAUAACUAUCAUAUACUUUUAUUGAAUCCUCCUGGUUUUCAAUAAAUUUGUCUUUCAUGAAGCAUAUAGAAACUUAUCUGAAAAUGAACACUCGGCUGAACGGGUGACCAUAUAGGUCGGGGCGGUGGCUCUUUUAGCAUUGAGAUAUCUCGCCUUGUAGAUGGAACUUAUUUACGUCCCCCCAUCUACCUUAUGGACACUUAGACUAGAUUAAGGUCCCACCCCACCACUGGGAUCCCGAGUGGUUCCUUGUUUUACUUAUCUGAACAUACUUUGCUUUUGAUAUAAAUGAACAUCCUGUUUUGAUUCAUAACAUAAUAAUCAUCCAUAUCAUUUGAACGGCAUGAUAUUCAUAUUGCCAUAAUAUAUCGUUAAUGCACUGAAAGUUAUGGAACAACAUUUGUAUAUACAUAGUAAUGCUUUAAAAUAUUUAGAAAAUACCUAAAUUGGUAUUCAUGUAUCGUGUUACGCACCUGGAUUCUCUUGGUUAUGCUCUAAACGUCGUGUUUCACAUUUAAAGAACACGGUAAAAAAUUAUCAAUAUUAUACUAGCCAUCCUUUGUAUAAAAUUUAAUAAAUUACUAUUGGCUCUCUAUUCUACUCCACGCAUAUCCGUUUAAACUUCUUUAUGCACUAGGGUAAUUCUAAGAUGGUGCAGAUAUAAUUUAUUCUCAUUUAAGCCUCGGUAUCCCGUUCGAAUCACAGUAGAAAGCGUUCGAACUCAACGUUCGAACACAAUAACACCGUUCAAACGUUUUCACUACGAACUCAAAAAUUCCAAAUCAGUCUCCUCCAACAUAUUUUCAUUUCUUUCAAGACUUCUAAAACUCAAAGACAAACUCAUUUUGGUUUACAAUAACUUAAUUUUCAACUCUUAAAAAGAACCUAUAAUGGUAGAUUUAAGAUUAGACUUUGAAAUUAGCUCAAAAAACUUUUGGAGUUUUGUUUUUUUAAACCCACACUUGGAUCACCAAUAAACCUCUAAUACAUGUAUUUGACUCAAUUUGAGACUCAGAAAGUCUCUAAUGAAUAUUAAUCAUAUACAAUACUUCUAACAUGUAUAGUUUAGGAUUUCACCUCUUUCUCAGCUUUUUCCAAGCUCCACAAUGGCUUCCCCUUUUGCUUUGAAUGAGCUUUUCAUCUGCUCUCUCUCUAUUCCCUUCCUCGCCUUCUCCUCUUCUCCCCUUCUUCUUCUCUUCUUUUCUUCUUUCUCUAUCUCUCUUCUCCCUCACGGGCGUCGUGGUGGGAGUGUGGUAUGGUUUGGUGUAUACUGCUGAUAGGAUUUUAAAUCCCAUGUGCUUUGGGCCCCCCUUUUUAUUUUCAUUUCCUGUUGUUAGCCAGUUCGAACGCUAAUGUUCGAACGCCACUCUCCCGUGCGAACAACUAUGAAGAAUUUCUAUUACGGGUUCAGUGGUAUUACAAGUAAUACAAAGACAUUGAGGAUCGAUAUAAAUUAAUAUCAAUUGCCUAUACAAUUUUCAAUUUCAAACAACUUCAUUCAAAACGAAGGAUAUUAUAGAAGGGCCAACACAACGUUGUUCAUGUUGAGAUCAACAAUGUUGUUAGAAUAUUAUUUUCUAGAGUUAUUGAUGAUUGUAUGAAAAAGAACAAGUGAUCGAAAAUGUCACGUGAUAACCACUUUGUUUAUGAAGUUUAUUUUGAAGAUCAUAAUUUAAAUGUCGAUAAGCACGCGACUACCAAUGUCUAAUCUAUUUGAAUUUCUUCAUGGGCAAUCGACUCAACCAAAUUUAUAAAUAAAACGCUCUAAUCAUUAUUAGCAACCGUCAAACUCUAAAUUAUCCCAAAAUGAAAUUCCUCCCCGUUAUAAAAUCAUAUUAAUAUUUUACAAAUAAUCACUCACAGAGAAAUAUCCUAUGGUUGCAAAAAAAAAUCUGAAAUUUAAUGUUUAUAAGCAGUUAUGCUAACACAUCGAAUGAGUAAUGGCUAAGGAACACACAAGGAAUUGAACAAAUUAAAUUUUUAACACACUUUCGCAUAUUUCUAUAUAGCACGUUUUGCACACGUUUAAUAUACUCCUUAUUCGCGACUCAUGAUCACUAUCCAUUCAUGUAUUUAGGAUUUUCCUUAAAUAAUAGCAGAAAAUCUCAAAAAUAAAGAAAACAACUACGUUCUCUACACUUGUUGGUCCUCUUAUACUACUAGUCUAUAAUUAAAAAAAAAAAACAAAUCACAACUACGGUUGAAUUCUAAAUUUAUCUCCCCGCUAUCUACAGUUGAAUCUAUUUGAGUGAAUCCAACGCUGAAUUUCACACCUGAGAAUAUUUUUUUUCCUCCUCCCAAAACUAUCAUUUCUUCAUUCUCAAAUCUAUGGGGCCCCACAAAGUUUUGAUCAAUGGACACAAAAAAUCUCUAAAAUUUAACAUAUUUUUACCUCAAUUGUAUCAUUUUUAGUGGGACCCAUAAAAAAAACUAAAAACACACAUUUUCUUUCUCUCUCAUUUUAAAUUUGUUUGUGUAUUUACUAAUUUAGUUAUUUAUUUGAUCAAACUUUGAAAAUAAGAGUUUAAAGAUAAAAAAAUCAGAGAUUUUUAUUUUUAGUGAAUUUCUCUUAAAAUGAAUAUAAUUUUUUAUAUUUUUAGACUUUUUUUUAUCAAGAAAAAAUAAAAAAGUAUAAAAAUUAGUGAUUUAAUCAGUGAAAAAACAUCACUAAAAAACAAAAAGGUGAAAAGCAAAGCAGAUAGAUAAAAAAAUUACCUAAAUAAAAAGGAAGUAAUUUUAUACGGCCAUUUUCUUUUAUAAUUAUUUUCACUUGAUAGUAAAAGAUAUCUUUUUUUUUUGCGUAGUGCCCGCACAGGACCAUUUUCUAGGAGCACUUAUGGGCCUGCCAGGUACGCUUUUAACUAUUAAAAAAACAAAGGAGAAUAAAUAAAAAAAGGGGUUUGAUCAUGAAAAUAAAUUAAACUCUACAGUGUCAGGUAAUACAUCUUGAACCAUGUAAAAUUAAUUGUAAUAACUUAAAUUAGUCGUUUUAACUCCAUUUACUAAGGCUAACAAAACCAAUUGGGUUUUCCUCCAAAUAAAUGAAACAGAUUUCGUAUAGAGUUAUUCCCUUAUAAAACCCUAAUCAAACCAAUGAAUAAGACAAAAUUAGGAAGAGAUCAGAUGGCUAUGCUAUUAUUUAGAAUGACAAUUAUUCAAUUAAGAGUUUAAGAAUGAAAAAAAAAAACAUACGAAGUGAUUUCAGUGCAUUUUGGACAGUACACAAGAUUUUUUAUGUAAUUCUAUCAAAAAUUAAAUGGUAUAAUCUUUGUAUUUUCUAUUUUAAUUAAUUUAUAUAUGAAUUAAUGGAAAAUUCGAUCGAGAUGAGGAUUUUUUCCUCAAAUUGGCCAUUUUGAAGAAUUUAUGGGUGGGGCGUUUGAAUUGAAUCUCGACAUGCACGUCGUUUCACGAGCAUUAAGAGUCAGACCGUCAAUUUCUUUGGCCAAUUGACGUAUGAUAGUUCAACGAUCGAAAGUUGCCGGGCCCGUCAAAGGACCAACUUGGCGCUUUGAGAUUGGGAAAUUAUGGUACGCCGUCUAGUCUGACAACCUCUAUUUGUCAAGAGUGGUGUUAAUAAAAGAUUCGAACCCGUGGUAUACUUUUUCUUUUUUGGGGAAGCGCCCUUACGUUUCGCACGCCACGUCCAUUCAUUGAGGUUGGACUAUUAUUUUUUUUUAAGUAGAGUCCACCUCUAAAUGAAUGAUGUGAGCGCACUAACAUAGGGAGCUCGUGUAAUACCACGGGCUCGAGUCCUCCUGAACACCACCAUUUGUCAACUAUUACUAUGCCACAUCACAUCUCAACUUAGGUAUGAGCCCAUAGGCCCACCUCACUAAGAUACUAUAGAAGUGUUUGGCAAAGAUAAACAAAUUUGAGUGUUUUAUUUUGGGUAAAAUAUAAAAAAUGAGAUGAAAAUUUCUCGUUUUUUUAAUUUGGAAUGGCUACAAAUCAUCUUUUCAUUAAUAAUUAAUUCUUAAAAAUUUACUAAUAACUGUUGAAUUUUUACUAAAAAAAUAAUAAAAUAUAAAAAAGUAGUAUAAAAAUUAUUCUCCCAAUUAAAAAACCUAGGCCAAACGAGAAAAAAAAUUGACUUUUUUCACAAAACACAACUCAAAUUUUAGGACAAAGGUGGGCCAAAAGUUUUUUUGUUUUGUUUUGUUGUGUUAAAAAAGUUAGAAAUUAAUCAAAUCUUAUGUUAAUUCCGUUUGGCGUAUGCGAGCAAAAAAGUUGUAGAUUUAUAACAAAAACUACACAUUCUUAAAUUCUAAUGGCACAUCUACAUCUACUUAAAGUGAUUGCAAGAUCACAUUAAUCGGGAUACGCUGAUAAAUAUAAUUAUCUUAAGUAAAUAAGUAUAAUUGUGUGUCACACACUCAUUUAUUAUAAAACAAUAUUGAUGCAUAUUGAUUUAUCUUCUAACCAACAUAUUUUUAACAGUAAUGAUCUUUACAAUAUAGUUCACCAUUUUAUGAACGAUUUAAAUUAUUAAAAUUGGGUCCACAUAAGUAGUGUCCCAAUUCUAAUUUCACAUCUCUUCCAACACUUUUAGGGCAUCGUUUAUUAAAAUCGGACCGAACACGGCCGGUUUCAAAACAAACCGCGAACUCGGGAUAAAAAACCGGUUCGGGUACACUAUUUUUACCGAAAAUCUCGAACCGGAUUGACCGUUGAACCGGACGGUUUUUUGUAACAGAAAAAGUUAAAGUUUUUAAUUUACAGUUGACCCCAAAAUUUUUGGAAUUAAAGUUUUUUAUUUUUACAUGUUUGACUGGCAAAAUUUUGAAUUGAAUUUUUAAUUUUUUAAUAGUUUUUUUUACUAUGAUUAAUUUUUUACUAUGAAUGGGGUAAAAAAUAUUUUUUUUAUUUAUUUAUAAUAAAAAUAUAAUUUUAUUAUUUUAUUAUUAUACAUCCGGUUGAACCGGUUGAACCGUGGGUUGAACCAGUGAACCGUUGAACCGGUGCUUUGAUCGGUCAAUGUCCGGUUCGUUUCUGAUACUAUGCUUUUUUUAGAGUAUCAAAUCUAAAGUUUUUUUUCUUAGGCGUGAUCACAUACUUCCAUUUUGUUUUUGGAUCGAAAACCAACUUGAAAAAGUUAAUUUUAAAAAAAAAAAACUCUUAUUUUUAAAUAAUCAACUUUUACUUACUUUCAGAUAUCUAUACUAUUAUAAAAAGGCAACAAAAAGGAAAUGUAGACAUUUUUGACAUUGAUUCAUCACACUUUUUAUGUCAAAACUAUCCUUCAACCUACACUACGGAAACCGUGGUAAUCAAUAACCUUAGAUAAAAAAUAAGAAUUAAUUUGUUUAAAAAUUAAUUUUUCUUUUGCAUACGCAUCGUAUGAGCACACCCACACUAGUAAGAAUAUGAGAGGAAUGACACUGAAAGAUCAAAUACAAGCAUGGAAUAUCAUACUGAAAGGGUUUGGGCAUGGUGUCACUGACUAUUGGGCCCAACUUGCUCGAGUGGUAGGGGCACGAUUUUGAUUAUCCGUAGUAGGCCCGAACUAGUGGGAUUGGACGAUAAGUUCAGUCCAGUAGUUCCAUCGUUGUUUUUCAAAAUGCUCUAGACAUACUAGUUCGAGGCAGACCCAAUAGUCCUCAUACUUGGUCCACUUGUCCUGGGGGUUUCAUGGUUUAUUAGUCCCACAAAUAGUCCGGGAGAUUACUUGGACCACUCCGGUUAAUCAAACAUGCCUAUCUAUUGGCCCAACUUCCUCAAUUGAAGUCCCAUUUUUUAAAAAUUACUUUUUUAAGCAACAUAACCAUUACAUUUAGUUUUUAUUACCUUUCUACUUUAUUUCUUGCAAUAGUUACGCUCGACUGAUUUUUUUGUUUAUAGGUAAAUGUUUUAUAAUAAUAUCUAAAAAAAGAAUAAAAUAGAAAGUUACGUAUUUUAUUUGGUAACUUUUUAUAGGAUAUACAUUUUGGGCACCUAAAAAUAAAAUAACAGUAGUUCACUAUGAACUAACAAGAAUAGUUUAUUUUUUACAUUUAAUGAUUAUAUUUUGAUGCUUUAGUUCAAGAAUUUGGAUGUUUAACUUUGGACAUUUGGCAGAUUUGAUGUUUGAUGUUUUGUUUUUUGGAUGUUGGUUUUUUGAUAUUUAGAUUUUAAAAUAUUGUAUACUACAGCAGUGGGAGGGAACACAGACCUAAAAGGGAGGGGCAUUUAACCUACUCAAGUUUUCAAUAAUUUCACUUGCAUCUCAUUGUUUUUUCCUCUACAAAAGUACAUUAGUAUCCUCCCUAAAUUAUUAAAUCGCCUAAUAUUUAUUAUUUUUGUAAAGAGCCUAGUUAUUAAAAUGGGCCAAACUUUCAGCCAGGACUUCAGUAGCAUUGGAUAUAUUAGUUUGGUUUACUUUGGUAAUUUUUUUAAUGUCCGUUAAUCAUAGAUAAUGCUUAUAUCUUCUUUACCUGUUAAUUAAUCUUCUACGUAAUAAAGAUGUUUAAAGUUUCGUAAUAUUUUAAUUAUUCGUACUUAUUGGGAAAACUCAAUUAAUGAUUAUAGUUAUCCCGGUCUUAAAUUCAAAGCCUCUACUACUACCACCGUCACUUUUUUCACAUUAAACUUGGACCGAAUUAAAAUCGAAUUGUAAAAAUGAUUCAGUUCCAAAGGCAUUAUGCUCAAGGCAUUAUGCUCUGGUACCACUCUAAGUUUUAAACCAAAUAGCUGGAAUUUACUAUACAAUAGGUAGUUACCACAAUCUGAUGUUAUAUCACCACGCAUAAUAUGCCACAUAACUUAAAAAUGGUGAAUUUUGACUCAAUAUGUUUCCAACCAAGACUUGCUCAAGGCAAUAGGCAUUAAACGAGUCAACUCUUUGGCCCCACUUUAGAAUAGACCCCCAAAUUUUUACUUACCAAAAGUUAAAGAAAAAAAACAAUAUCUAAAAGAGUUUUUGUUAAAAAUAAUGCUUUUUGUUUAUUCACGUGUUUAACCAUAAAAUGCGAGUCUUACUAUAUGUGAAGAUUCAAUACACUAACAAAAUGUAACGUUUCUAUCUUUUCUUUUUUUUUCUUUUCUUUUCUGUUCUUUUUUUGGUACAUGCCCACAAUAAUAUAAAAAUUUCUUUAGAUAUGUCAAAAAAUAUCUUAUGUAUUUAGAGCGGGCAUGCCUACAAACCCACGUGUUUUGGGUCACUUUGUCUUUUAGUCGAACUUAUUGCCUUGUUAUGGGUUCGGAUCCUUUGAAUGUUAUUGGAAUUUACAAAAUGACGUCGUUUUGGUCUUAAAGUUUAUAAAAUGACGUUGUUUUUUGUACUUCAUACAUAUUCUCUUCUAAUCGUAAACCGCACUUCAAAAAAUAUGAACUCAUGUAUAUGAUGUGAUGUGAUAUGAUGUAAUGUGACUUAAGUCUAAUAAUUUUGGUGGUUAUAAUAUUCUUUGAGAUGGUAGGUCGAGAUAAGACAAAAGAAACAAGAAGAAGAAAUUUGAGAAAAUGAAAAGUAGAAGAAAAAAAAAAUGGUUCAUCCUACGAGUUAGGUUGCAACUCAAGUAGGUUCGAACAUGUUAGGGGUUGUGACUAGGUUGAGGUUGAGAUAAGUCAAAGUUCUAUUUAAUUUCAGUUUGACUUACAUUUUUUAAAGAAUUUUAAACUGCUUUGAUAUUUGUUUUUUUUUCACUUUUAAUGACUUUUUUACUUUUUGAUCAAAAUUUUAAUUUUUUCGUUUCAUCUUGACGAGAGAAAUUUAAAAAUAUAAAAUUU